rnacentral:rRNA from 1 species
GAUGAACGCUGGCGGCGUGCAUAACACAUUCAAGUCGAACGGACAGUAGCAAUACUGUUAGUGGCGGACGGGUGAGUAACGCGUGAGCAAUCUGCCUUUCGGUGAGGAAUAACAGGGAGAAAUCGCUGCUAAUACCUCAUGACGUAGCGGUAUCGCAUGGUACUGCUACCAAAGAUUUAUCGCCGAAAGAUGAGCUCGCGUCCGAUUAGGUAGUUGGUGAGAUAAAAGCCCACCAAGCCGACGAUCGGUAGCCGAACUGAGAGGUUGAACGGCCACAUUGGAACUGAGAUACGGUCCAG